GCAUUCAUGCUACCUGAGCUUUACUACAUUUUCUUAAGCCUGCUGUGCCCAUCAGCGACACUCAGUCAGUAAGUCACAUGCUUUCUGAAGGGCCACUUCUGUUUCCGGUAAGAUACGAACAGAACAUGUUAAGUAGAGAGAGUAUUCUGCCUUUGUUAUUAAUUAUAGCUUCCCUCCCGCUCAUGAAGCUGCUUGGUAGCCUAUAGAACAGGAGGAAAUGGAGGUUGAAAGUUUGCCAGCAGACAACUUAGCUCUGUAAAUAAGAGUUGAGGCCCCAAGAGCACGGAAGCCCCGUGAGUCUCUCUGUUCGUAGUGUGGAAAAGGGACGCUCUGCAGUGUUUCCAUGUGUACAGCAUGACAACAAGUGAGGAAGUGUCAGCAGCUGCCGCUUAGCAGUGAAAAUACUUGGGGGCUUCGAAGAGCCAACUGCUGCUUUGUCUAAGCCACACCUUGUUUUAUCCAAGCACACCCUCCAGUGUGCUUACCUUGUCACGGCUUGUUACGAUCACCUAUGGAUCCAAUUUGGGAGCAGUGGCUGUAACGCUUAUAGAAGCUGAGCCUGCCUCUGGUCAACUCCCUGAGGUGUAUGUAAAUCAGGGCCUACUUAGGACAAGGAUAUGGAUCCAAAAUGGUGACGUCUGAACUGUGGUUACCACUGAUGUUUCCGUGGGCCAGGAUUUUACGUAGCAUCUCCUUAGUCCUCAUGACACGUCUUUGAGAUAAUGGAAGUAAAAUACUGCUUGGAGAGUUGGAAUGAAGAAUGGAUAUGAAACCUGUUACGUACUACCAUGAUGUCUGACAGAAGAGACGGUCCAUAAUUACUAUGACUCGUCCCAGCCCACCCCCAGGUGAAACAAGGAAACUCAAGGCUUUCCUCCACCUGUUCUGCAUCCUCAGGAUGGCUCCCUGACCACAGAUCUAGGCCUAGGCCCCAACUCAUGUUGAACAGCACGUCGCACUGCACGGGGACCACAGGCCAAUCUCCUCUGCAUUUUCCAAGAAUUGUUGCCGUGAAGAAUGUUCCUGCCAGCUUGGAUGCAAACAGGACCGUGGAUGCUUUGGAGUUUGCAGACAAAUGGCUUUGCUAAGGACAUUUUGAAGAAACGUUUGAGCAGUCAACAAGAUGCCAUUUCUACCCCGUGAAAUUUUGCGGAAGUGAGCAACAGACACGCGCUGCUCGUGACCUUCCCUGGGCGGACGGACAAAGUCCUGGCCCUGGAAACAUCAUCCCUGACCAACACUGGAGAAACUACAGGGCCUCGCUGGGUGUGUCAAACAGUGUCUGUUUUGUUAAAAUGACCCUCUUUCCCUCACCUGCGACGUCAGAUUGUUCUCUGAGUCCUGAUGUUCUGUGUUGUCUUCUUCAGCUCUGCUUCAGAAUUACAACAUUUCUCCCUGGGCCAUCGGUAGAGACUCCUGGUCUCUUCCUCACCUAACCUACACCCCCUCCAGUUUCUACUGUGCCAGUGACUUAUUUCUACAGAUGCGGCAUGGUGGUUCACUUCCAGGAGGGCACCUUGCUGACCGCUGACUGGACACCGGAGGCCAGCAUCUGCCACCUGAGAAGCAUUGCAAUAUGGAGAAGACCUACCUUUCUUGACCCAUGUCCGUAUCUCCAACCCCUCUCUGUGUACACCAUGCGUCUAAGUCGUGCAAGACUCGUGGUUUCCUGAACUUGCAACCUUUUCCUCCUGUGCCUCCAAGCCCUCACGUGACUGCAGCUUCGACCGACAUCUUGGCUGUGAUUUCAUGAGGGACCCUGAGCCAGAGCCACCUGGCUAAGCUGCUUCCAGAUUCCUGGCCCACAACACUGCGAUAAAUGAAUGUCAUUGCUUUAAGCUGCUCCUUUUGGGGGAAAUUUGUUACGGGGCAAUGGAUUCCCCUCUCUGGCCUGGUGUUGUCAUACGUCAGUAGAAGGAUACAAGCAACCUACCACUGUGUUGUUCAGAGUAGGCAAACCUAUGAGCAGGGCAGCCAUGACAGAAGGGCCCUCACCCCCCUUGGCUCUGUGAGCUUUGUGUCAGCAUCAUUCAAACCAAUGUCUGUGCACAAAUGGGUAUUCAGAUGGGCAUUUAAAGGGUGUUGUGCUUUCGUCAAAUUUGGGAAUGGACAGCACGCAAACGACCUGGGAGUCCUGAGGUGGAGAAGAAGGUGAGGGCCUUGCUGAGUGAAAAGCAUCUGUAGUGUCUGAGCUGCCUUUUCUGCUUCUCUCUGUCAUGAAGGGACACAGUGGAGAGAAGAAUGGAUAUUUUGAGAAGAGGAUGGCUAUUUGGAAAGUCUUCAGGAACAAUAGAACGUGUUCAUGUUCACGUGGUUUGUGUGGUAGCAAUUGACCAAGAGGUCAGGGCACUGUGGAGUCUGACGAGAGCCGUAGCUUAGGUUUUCUGCCAAGUCAUUUUGGUAACGUGUCACAUCAGUGCGGUUGUGUGUGGAGUCAUUUCAGAAGGAAGAACCGAAGAAGGCAGCGAAGGCCCAUAGUAUAUGGCCUCUUGUCUGUGGCCUUCAAGCCCAAGGCCUUGCAUGGAAACAUGGCCCGAGCCACACUGUGUCACCUGUCUCCUCUGUCCACUCCCUUUUUCCUGCCACAGUGACCAGGACCCCAGGUCUGACAGUUAUUGGGCACCUGCUCAGUGUGUUCUCGGCGCUCACACGCUUCCUGAGCUAUGAACACUUGUGUGCAGGAGGGAAUCUUUACGCAUCCUCCAUUACUGUGAUGUGUUUUCUCGCCUGGGAACCUCAUUAUUGUAAGCUUGGCCUCUGUGGAAAGAGAAGAUUCUCCACGGCAUAUAAGGAAAUCUGGAUUAUAUUCUGAAGACGAUGUUAUGCCUCAGCAGAUGGCGUAACAGGCAUAUUGCUCUGGUGCGAACAUUCAGUGACCCAGACAGCAUCUUGGAAGGCCUUCUCCUUUUGAGUCAUGUCUAAAAUAUAUACUAAACUUAGCUUCGGCGAAACAAAUCAACAAUCGAACGAUCUUCUGUUCAACUGACCCACCUGGACUGUCUUUCCCAGAAAUCAUUUUUUUCGCACUCAGUGCAAGAAUAGUUUGCAUUGGCGCGCAUCUUCAUUCAUCGUAACUCCCCUGAUUCCACGUUUUGACGACGUGGGAGGCGGACUCCAAUCACCUUCCUGAAAUCACGGUCUAAAUGUUAAGAGUCAUCUGACUCUCGUGAGAUGGCAACACAGUGGAUGGAGAGUGAAAAACUUACUUCAGCCACUGGAGCUGUGUUUUCUUACCGGUGGGAGAGGGGACAUCCAGGAUGUUUGAAAGUGAUUUAUUUCCCUCAAGUGAACGAAUUGAUAUUUUGGGCUCAUGGCGAUAAACUCAAGUUGCCCCUUCUUUAUCUGAGUAGAGCUACAAGUGUUUGUCCCUAUGAAAGGACAGGUUGGCUAAGCCUUUCUGAUGCUCAGUUCCCUUCAUCUAUGAAGUGGGAAUAUCAACUGGCAAGAUCGUCACAGGUUUGAAGCGAGUGUGUUUCCAGCCCCUGGAACUGUCCCUGCUGGAGUGUGGGCAUUCAGUGAGCGGAGCGAUCAUAUUAAUGCUCUGCUGCUCAUGGUCAGAGCAUUGGCAACAGUAGAUGCUACUGCGGGGACUUUGUUACCAUGGUGGUAUGCAUACCUUUUUCUUUGCUCUCCACUAUAACUCAUUUGACUAUUUUUAUCCAGGAACAAAAGGGAGACACUGAGCUCUCCCUGCUUUUUAAAGUGUAAACUGAGAGUCCUGUGAUUUUUAACAUAGUUGAGGUGUUUUGU